UGAGGAAUAUUGGUCAAUGGGCGAGAGCCUGAACCAGCCAAGUAGCGUGAAGGAUGACUGCCCUAUGGGUUGUAAACUUCUUUUAUACGGGAAUAACACGCGGCACGUGUGCCGCUCUGCAUGUACCGUAUGAAUAAGCAUCGGCUAACUCCGUGCCAGCAGCCGCGGUAAUACGGAGGAUGCGAGCGUUAUCCGGAUUUAUUGGGUUUAAAGGGAGCGUAGACGGGUUCUUAAGUCAGUUGUGAAAGUUUGCGGCUCAACCGUAAAAUUGCAGUUGAUACUGGGGACCUUGAGUGCGGCAGAGGCAGGCGGAAUUCGUGGUGUAGCGGUGAAAUGCUUAGAUAUCACGAAGAACUCCGAUUGCGAAGGCAGCUUGCUGGACCGUAACUGACGUUGAUGCUCGAAAGUGCGGGUAUCAAACAGG
rnacentral:rRNA from 1 species